rnacentral:sRNA from 1 species
GGUUGCAUGGAUUAUCUGGUGGCGGAGACAUCACAGACCUGAGUCUUCUUACUGUUCUAGAUUUACACAGCAAUGAACUGAAAGUGUUACCAGAAGAGAUGGGAGCCUUAGUCAACUUAAAGAUAUUAGAUGUUUCUGACAACAAUUUAAAAGAUCUGCCCAAGUCUUUGUCUGAGAUUCCAUUUUUACAGACUUUAAAUUUAAGAA